AGAUUGAACGCUGGCGGCAUGCCUUACACAUGCAAGUCGAACGGCAGCACGGGGGCAACCCUGGUGGCGAGUGGCGAACGGGUGAGUAAUGCAUCGGAACGUGCCCAGUAGUGGGGGAUAACUAGUCGAAAGAUUAGCUAAUACCGCAUACGACCUAUGGGUGAAAGCGGGGGAUUCGCAAGAACCUCGCGCUGUCGGAGCGGCCGAUGUCUGAUUAGCUAGUUGGCGGGUAAAAGCCCACCAAGGCUUCGAUCAGUAGCUGGUCUGAGAGGACGACCAGCCACACUGGGACUGAGACACGGCCCAGACUCCUACGGGAGGCAGCAGUGGGGAAUUUUGGACAAUGGGCGCAAGCCUGAUCCAGCCAUGCCGCGUGCGGGAAGAAGGCCUUCGGGUUGUAAACCGCUUUUGGCAGGAACGAAACGGCGCGAGCGAAUAUCUCGCGUUAAUGACGGUACCGUGCAGAAUAAGCACCGGCUAACUACGUGCCAGCAGCCCG
rnacentral:rRNA from 1 species